rnacentral:rRNA from 1 species
GANAGUNGAAUUUCGGGGUUCUNGCCGUUGGUCGGNCAAUAAGUCUGUAACUGGCGUGUAGAAUUUCUACCUUCUGGGGAACCAUCAUGUUAUUUAUUUAGCGUGGUGGGAAACCAGGACCUUUACCUUGAAAAAAUUAGAGUGUUCAAAGCAGGCUUACGUCUGAAUACAUUAGCAUGGAAUAAUAAAAUAGGACGGUGGUCCUGUUUUGUUGGUUUCUGAAUCACCGUAAUGAUUAAUAGGGAUAGUUGGGGGCAUUAGUAUUCAAUUGUCAGAGGUGAAAUUCUUGGAUUUAUUGAAGACUAACUUCUGCGAAAGCAUUUGCCAAGGAUGUUUUCAUUAAUCAAGAACGAAAGUUAGGGGAUCGAAGACGAUCAGAUACCGUCGUAGUCUUAACCAUAAACUAUGCCGACUAGGGAUCGGACGAUGUUA